GAUGAACGCUGGCGGCGUGCCUAAUACAUGCAAGUAGAACGCUGAAGGAGGAGCUUGCUCUUCUGGAUGAGUUGCGAACGGGUGAGUAACGCGUAGGUAACCUGCCUCGUAGCGGGGGAUAACUAUUGGAAACGAUAGCUAAUACCGCAUGACAACUGUUAUUGCAUGAUAACCGUUUAAAAGGGGCAACUGCUCCACUACCAGAUGGACCUGCGUUGUAUUAGCUAGUUGGUGAGGUAACGGCUCAUCAAGGCGACGAUACAUAGCCGACCUGAGAGGGGGAUCGGCCAAACUGGGAAUGAGACACGGCCCAAACUCCUUCGGGAGGCAGCAGUAGGGAAUCUUCGGCAAUGGGCGGAAGGCUGACCGAGCAACGCCGCGUGAGGGAAGAAGGUUCUCGGAACGUAAAGCUCUGUUUUAAGAGAAGAACGAGUGUGGGAGUGGAAAGUUCACACUGUGACGGUAUCUUACCAGAAAGGGACGGCUAACUACGUG
rnacentral:rRNA from 1 species